CUAACACAUGCAAGUCGAGCGGUAGCACAGAGAGCUUGCUCUCGGGUGACGAGCGGCGGACGGGUGAGUAAUGUCUGGGAAACUGCCUGAUGGAGGGGGAUAACUACUGGAAACGGUAGCUAAUACCGCAUAAUGUCGUAAGACCAAAGUGGGGGACCUUCGGGCCUCAUGCCAUCAGAUGUGCCCAGAUGGGAUUAGCUAGAAGGUGGGGUAACGGCUCACCUAGGCGACGAUCCCUAGCUGGUCUGAGAGGAUGACCAGCCACACUGGAACUGAGACACGGUCCAGACUCCUACGGGAGGCAGCAGUGGGGAAUAUUGCACAAUGGGCGCAAGCCUGAUGCAGCCAUGCCGCGUGUGUGAAGAAGGCCUUCGGGUUGUAAAGCACUUUCAGCGGGGAGGAAGGCGUUAAGGUUAAUAACCUUGGCGAUUGACGUUACCCGCAGAAGAAGCACCGGCUAACUCCGUGCCAGCAGCCGCGGUAAUACGGAGGGUGCAAGCGUUAAUCGGAAUUACUGGGCGUAAAGCGCACGCAGGCGGUCUGUCAAGUCGGAUGUGAAAUCCCCGGGCUCAACCUGGGAACUGCAUUCGAAACUGGCAGGCUAGAGUCUUGUAGAGGGGGGUAGAAUUCCAGGUGUAGCGGUGAAAUGCGUAGAGAUCUGAGGAAUACCGGUGGCGAAGGCGGCCCCCUGGACAAAGACUGACGCUCAGGUGCGAAAGCGUGGGGAGCAAACAGGAUUAGAUACCCUGGUAGUCCACGCCGUAAACGAUGUCGAUUUGGAGGUUGUGCCCUUGAGGCGUGGCUUCCGGAGCUAACGCGUUAAAUCGACCGCCUGGGGAGUACGGCCGCAAGGUUAAAACUCAAAUGAAUUGACGGGGGCCCGCACAAGCGGUGGAGCAUGUGGUUUAAUUCGAUGCAACGCGAAGAACCUUACCUGGUCUUGACAUCCACAGAACUUAGCAGAGAUGCUUUGGUGCCUUCGGGAACUGUGAGACAGGUGCUGCAUGGCUGUCGUCAGCUCGUGUUGUGAAAUGUUGGGUUAAGUCCCGCAACGAGCGCAACCCUUAUCCUUUGUUGCCAGCGGUUAGGCCGGGAACUCAAAGGAGACUGCCAGUGAUAAACUGGAGGAAGGUGGGGAUGACGUCAAGUCAUCAUGGCCCUUACGACCAGGGCUACACACGUGCUACAAUGGCAUAUACAAAGAGAAGCGACCUCGCGAGAGCAAGCGGACCUCAUAAAGUAUGUCGUAGUCCGGAUUGGAGUCUGCAACUCGACUCCAUGAAGUCGGAAUCGCUAGUAAUCGUAGAUCAGAAUGCUACGGUGAAUACGUUCCCGGGCCUUGUACACACCGCCCGUCACACCAUGGGAGUGGGUUGCAAAAGAAGUAGGUAGCUUAACCUUCGGGAGGGCGCUUACC
rnacentral:rRNA from 1 species